ACUACUUACAAAUGAACACUGGUACCGUAUAUAUCCAUACAUGCAACCAUAACUUGGAAAAGUACUUUCCCUUGCCUGUGUCCAUUCUCUCCUCCCCCGCCCCCUUUCCUCUUUCCUGUUUUCUUUUUUCUGCCACCAAGUCACUUCAGCAGUGAUAUCAGCAUGGCAGACUGUAGGGAGCAGGAGGGCUGGCCUUUUGAAAUGUGAUGCCUCAGAGUAUUUGGCAAAUGAUUUAGAGCCUCUGUUGUGCCUGGGAAGGCUGCAGUGAAGAGAAGUGGAGGCGUCUCCUUGCUCCUCUCUUUCUGAGAGAUGCGUCUUCUGUAUUGAUCCACUAUAAAACCACUCUCAGAUCUGAAGACAAGAGAUACAAAUUCCAUAGAGGCUCAUCUGCUAUUACCUGAAUGAUUUUGGUUUAGUAACUUCCCCUGAACCUGGGAUCUAUAAAAUGAGGUGGUCAGACAAGAUGACCUCUAGGAUCCCUUCUCAUGGGAUAUCCUUUCCUGCAGACACUUCUCUUCCUUCAAAACAAGGUCCUUGGCCAAUAGGACAGUAAAGGAAAACAAUAAAUGUUGGAGGGGAUGUAGCAAUAUUGGGACACUAAUGCAUUGUUGGUGGAGCUGUGAAUUGAUCCAAUCAUUCUGGAAGGCAAUUUGGAAUUAUGCGCAAAAGGCUAUAAAACAAAGUACACCCUCUGAUCCAGUAGUACAAUUGCUAGGUCUAUAUCCAAGAGAGGUUUUAAAAAAGGUGUAGGGGAAAGGAUCUACUUGUACAAAAAUGUUAAUAGCAGCUCUUUUUGUGGUGGCCAAAAACUGGAAACUAAAGGGAUGUCCCUUAAUUGGGGAGUAGCUGAACAAAUUGUGGGAUAUGAUGGUGAUGGAAUACUAUUGUGGGGUAAAGAACGAUGAAGAGGAAGAUUUCAGAAAGAACUGGAAAGACCUCUGUGAACUGAUGCAGAGUGAAAUAAGCAGAACCAGAAGAACAUUGUACACAGUAACUGCAAUAUUGUAAGAUACUCUCAGCAAUCCAAGAUAAUUCUGAAGAAAUUAUGACAAAGAAUGCUCUCCACCUCAGAAUACAGAUGAAAGCAGGAGGUUUUUCACGUGUUUAUUGGGGUUUAUGUUUUGGGGUUUGGGUUUUAUAAAAUUAUUCUCUUCCAAAAAAUAAACAAUAUGGAAAUA